rnacentral:rRNA from 1 species
GGCAAGUCUGGUGCCAGCAGCCGCGGUAAUUCCAGCUCCAAUAGCGUAUAUUAAAGUUGUUGCAGUUAAAAGCUCGUAGUUGAACUUUAGGCAAGGCGGCCUGGUCACCCACUGGGUGUACUGGGCUCGCCGCGCCUCACCUUCGGGGAACUAGCUGUGCUUCGGUGCACUAGGGAACCGAGCCUUACUUUGAAGAAUUAGAGUGUUUAAAGCAGGCUUACGCUUGAAUACAUCAGCAUGGAAUAACAAGAUAUGGAAGAUGGAAGAUCUUGUUGGUUUAAUCCAUUUUAAUGAUUAAUAGGAUCAGUUGGGGCAUUAGUAUUCAAUAGUCAGAGGUGAAAUUCUUGGAUUUAUUGAAGACUAACGAGAGCGAAAGCAUUUGCCAAGGAUGAAUUCAUUAAUCAAGAACGAAAGUUAGGGGAUCGAAGAUGAUUAG